rnacentral:rRNA from 1 species
GACGAACGCUGGCGGCGUGCCUAGCACAUGCAAGUCGAGCGAAUGAAGUUCUUUCGGGAAUGGAUUUAGCGGCGGACGGGUGAGUAACACGUGGGCAACCUGCCUCAUAGAGGGGAAUAGCCUUCCGAAAGGGAGAUUAAUACCGCAUAAGCUUGUAGUACCGCAUGGUACAGCAAUUAAAGGAGCAAUCCGCUAUGAGAUGGGCCCGCGGCGCAUUAGCUAGUUGGUGAGGUAGCGGCUCACCAAGGCGACGAUGCGUAGCCGACCUGAGAGGGUGAUCGGCCACAUUGGGACUGAGACACGGCCCAGACUCCUACGGGAGGCAGCAGUGGGGAAUAUUGCACAAUGGGGGAAACCCUGAUGCAGCAACGCCGCGUGAGUGAUGACGGCCUUCGGGUUGUAAAGCUCUGUCUUCAGGGACGAUAAUGACGGUACCUGAGGAGGAAGCCACGGCUAACUACGUGCCAGCAGCCGCGGUAA